CUCCGCCCCCAACAAAGGCCCUUAAUGAUAAGCCGGAGCCUGCGCUUCCACUGGGCCCCCAAGAUCUCGCGAGAUUUCAGGGCGCCCGGCUUCCCUCAGUGGGAAGGUUUUAACACCUCAUCUUUACUUCCCGGCUGCCGAAUCCCCACUUGUGCUGCUCUUUAGCUGGGAAGGGUUUCCUCUCCGCAGAGGAUGUGGGUAGACAAUGACAAGCUGGGGUGUAUGCUGCUGAAACCACUGCUGUGUGUGAAAGAAUGAGCAACUGAUCCUGAAUUUUGGUUGUUAGACUCAGAAUGGAUCUUUGCUAAACCCAAAGCUUGAGAAAAAUGUUAGUCAUGGUCCCCUUGCUUGGCGGAAAACAGAUGGGAGGAAGACUGUCAUCAUUUAUACUUGGGACACAGUGCAGCAUGGAGGCAGACCUCGAAAAUAAUUGUUUAAAGGUCACAAUGACAAGGAACUAGAAUAUAAUCAAUUCAACAAAUGUUUAUCAAAUGUCUCCUCUGGAUUAGGCACUGUACUGGGACCUGAAACUCUGGAAGAAAUCAAGCGACAUACUGCCUCUGUAGUCAUGGAACUACAGGCUGGGGAAAUCCCUGAUAUGACUCAUGUGGUUAAGUAUAUAAAUAAUGAUGAAUGCCUCAAGACUGAAAGAAGACUCCAUUGAAUCUUUAAAGAAUCUUAGCAUCAAAAGCAGAAGGAUUUAGGAAAGCCAAGAUAUGAUGGUUAAUUUUGUCUGUCAGCUUACCUGGACCACGGAGUACCCAGUAUUUGGUGAAACAUCAUUCUGAGUGUGUGUGUUUUGGAGUGAGCAUAAUUCUUGAAUCUGUAGACUGAGUAAAAAAAAAAAAACAAAAAAACCCGCCCUCCCUAAUGUGGUUGGCCCUCAGCCAAUGAGUUGAAGAUCCAAAUAGAGCAAAAUAGCAUACUCUCUUUCAGGGAACCCUGCCAAAUAUGCAAGUCAUCAAAACAAACCAAAUAUUACCUCCAGGAAUUUUUCUGUGAAUCAUCAAUGGAUUCAAGACUUGGUUGAAUUCUCCUCUUCUGGACUCCAAUAAUACCUUGUCAGUUUAGUCCUUUAAAGCUUUAGUCUUUUUUCAAAAUUUCAGUUAGUAUUAUAUUCCAGAGAUAGCAGCCAAUGAGUGUAUAUUUCUGAAUUAAAGCAUUCAAUACUGUUGAGUCUAAGAAAUUGUCCCUCCUUAUAGAAAAAGAUCCCAAACAUGAUUUUUAUGUAUCAAAAAUCUGCUUUAUUUUCAAGUUUAUAGAGAAAAAAUAUAUAAUGCUUUUCUAAAUAAACAGAGAAGCUUUGUAAGACAGGAAUAUGUUUAGGCCUGGUAGGGCCAGGGCCAAGAGUUACCCUGUCUGAGUGGAGACACUGGGGUGGAGACCAAGGAGGUGAUCAAUGUGGACAGGAAACAGGUUACAUAGAGAAGGCUCAAGCACAUAAGUACAGUAAGUAUACUGAAAGCAAUGAAAGCCAAAUUUCUCUCUGUUACAGAAAGGACCAACCAAUAUGGAAAGAAAUAAUACUAAAAACAUUCAUGUAUGAGCUCAUGGAUUUUGAGAUUUUGAGAGCAAUACAUAUUGAAACAAAUAUAAAAUCAUGUAGAGAGAGAGAGGCUGAGGAGUAGAAGCAAUGAUAGCCCAGUGACAGGGAGCACUUCUAGCACCAAUAUCUUGAUUUCUAAAUAUCAUCCUUUACUAAAAAGAAACAGAGCUCCUUAGAGGGAUAGGUGAUUUCAAGGCUGGAUCAGGAAAAGCACAAGAUCACAAUACUUUGUUCACUGAAAAAUUUAAAAGCCCACAAAGAAUUAAAUGGACAAACCAAAAGGACAGAAGAGCUAUUUUUCAGGAAUUCUUAUUAGCUACACAUUUAGGAAAUCUUGGGCACUGAAAAAGGAAAUGACAGACAUGAAUGAAUGAAUGAAUGAAUGAAUGAAUUAAUACAAAAGAAAAUCUAUCAUUAAGAAAUCUAAAAGGUAUAAUAAAAUUAGAAAAAUCACCAUUUGGAAACAACAACAACAAUAAUAAUUGAUGAAGGCAAAAAUCAUCAAUGGAUUCUAAACUAGAGGAUAAAAUUUGAUGAGGAAUAAGUUAUUAACAUAGUCUCAUGAGAUAUUUAGUAAAUAUUAUAACUUACAACAGUUUUCU
ensembl:lncRNA